GACGAACGCUGGCGGCGUGCUUAACACAUGCAAGUCGAGCGAUGAAGCUCCUUCGGGAGUGGAUUAGCGGCGGACGGGUGAGUAACACGUGGGCAACCUGCCUUAUAAAGAGGAAUAGCCAUCCGAAAGGAUGAUUAAUACCUCAUAAUAUUGUAGCUUCGCAUGGGGCAACAAUCAAAGGAGCAAUCCACUAUAAGAUGGGCCCGCGGCGCAUUAGCUAGUUGGUGAGGUAACGGCUCACCAAGGCGACGAUGCGUAGCCGACCUGAGAGGGUGAUCGGCCACAUUGGGACUGAGACACGGCCCAGACUCCUACGGGAGGCAGCAGUGGGGAAUAUUGCACAAUGGGGGAAACCCUGAUGCAGCAACGCCGCGUGAGUGAUGACGGCCUUCGGGUUGUAAAGCUCUGUCUUCAGGGACGAUAAUGACGGUACCCGAGGAGGAAGCCACGGCUAACUACGCGCCAGCCGCCGCAGUAACAC
rnacentral:rRNA from 1 species